GAUCCGGCAAACUCUCGCCAGAGUAUUGAAGUGUCUCCUGUGGUACAACGGCUCCCCAGUUACCAAUGUUCCCUCCGUGUUACUCGCCAAGUAGAUUUCUGCCGCCAAGCCAGCCGCCUAUCCUCGUCACCGCCUGUCACACGUUCUCUGCCUGAACAACCUGCCAACACAUCUCAAGGACCAUCUCCAUUCCCCUUUUCCAUGAACUUUUCAUCACAACCUCUCAGCCUCCAUCUGCUCUUGGGUCCAGUCUAAAUCCACUCGUGACAGAUCUUCUCUUUUGCUUAAUGGAGGACACCUAUACCUCACCUUGUUUAUUUACAACUUAAGAAAAACUCAAUUUAGAUGGUUCUGCCCCACCAUCGCAAACGUCAGCCUGUUCUGCCCACACGGUUCAUUGGAACUGCCCCGUUAUUACCCACAGCCCCCCGACAGGCCUGUCGGACUUUCAAUUGUGAAGGGCGAUUUUGAAAAAGACUCCACUGAUACAAGCUCGAUGAACAAAGACAACUUUAUUGGCCAACAAGCAAUAUACAGUGUCCGCCAACAACUGCAGCAGGUGGGAGAGUCCCAUUCAAUAUUGGGGGCUCCGAAAUCUGGAGGGACACCAUGCCGUCUUCUGACGCCGUCAUGCGGUCAGCUCCUUCCUGACUCUGAAUAUGGCUGACUGAUUUGUCAUAAUAUUUGAAGCUCCUGAGGUUAUUAUCAGUGUUUGAAAGAACAAGUGGUCAAAAGGGCUCAGAGAACCCAACCGGAUCCCAAGACUGGACCUCCAGACCGGCUUUUCGUGCCCAAUUUCACACGCUCUGAAGCACUUCAGUGGGCCCACAACUCCAACUAUAUUUGGAAGGAUGUCAGGGCUGCCCUGGCUCGGUCAGCCGAAAGGAACUUAAGAGAUCUUCAUCGCUCCCCUACGCCUGUAUACAAGGUGGCUAAGAUGGUUUGGCUUUCCUCCCGUGACCUUUCUCUCCAGACCGAAUCACUGUGUGUGACCUGUCGUCCCCCGCACCCUGAAUGAAUCUCCGAAAGUGGAAAUUCUCUAGCUGGAGCUGUCUGCCUUGUCAAAACUUGUAAAUACUUGUAAAUAAUUGGCAAUAACACUUAUGUUUUACUUUU